rnacentral:rRNA from 1 species
AUCUAUGGCCAUAUCAUGCUGAGAAUGCCUGAUCUUUCCUGAACCCAGAAAGCAAACAGAACUGGGCCUGGUUAGGACAUGAAUC